CCUUCUCCCACUGAGCCCUGCCUCCCAAAGACUCUCCCACCUUCUGAGAGUGCCAUGAGCUGGGAAUCAGCACCAUGAUCUAAUGGCACCACAAGUCUUCGAUACAUGGGCCUUUGGGCAAUAUUAUAGUUCCAAACUAGUAUUCUGCCCAUUCCCAAGAGUCCCAAAAGUCUUAACUGUUCCAGUAUUGCUCAAAUGUCUCCUCUGAGACUCAAAGCAGAAAUUUUUAGCUUUAAGCCCCUGUUAAAAUCAGUUACAUACUUUUGAGAUGCAAUGGCACAGGGUAGACAUUUCCAUUUCAAAAGAGAAGAAUAGGAAAAUAGCAAGGAGGGACUAGACCAAAGCAAAACCAGAAACCAGCAGGGCAAACAUCAUAUCGUGUAGCUCCAUGUCUGGUAUUCAGGGCACUAACUGAAUGUGGGCUUCAAGAGCUUGGGCAGCCCCACUCCAUGGCCUUACACUGUGUCUCACUGGCUGCUCUCUUGGGAGGGCUCUGCAUACUUCUGGCACCUUCCUUUAGUAGACAUUCCACAUUCCUGCAUUUCUGCCUUUCAGGGGUCCCAUUGAUUGCAGCUUUGCUUUGGCUCUGUGAGGCUACUUGCAGGAACUCAGACCCUGCCCUGCACUGCCUGGCAUACGAGGUUUUUCUUUGAAAUAUGGGCAGAAGCCUCCAUGAGUGCAUACGUCUUCCGUUCUACAUGCCUGCAAAACCAGCACCGUGAUCUGGUGGCACCAUGAUCUGCCACUAGGACCUGUUGGAACUGAGUGCUUUACCUGAGUGCACACAGGGAAUCAAAUUCCAGGGAAACAAUUCCUAGACAGUCCUGCAAGUCUUUGAAAUGAGUGGCCUAAUCCUAAGAAAUCUUCAAGACAGCUUUCCAGGGCUGGGGAUGUGGCUCAAGCAGUAGCAUGCUCACCUGGUGUGCAUGCGGCCCGGGUUCGAUCCUCAGCACCACAUACAAACGAAGAUGUUGUGUCCGCC
rnacentral:lncRNA from 1 species